rnacentral:rRNA from 2 species
GGGUUGUGAGGUUAAGCGACUAAGCGUACACGGUGGAUGCCCUGGCAGUCAGAGGCGAUGAAGGACGUGCUAAUCUGCGAUAAGCGUCGGUAAGGUGAUAUGAACCGUUAUAACCGGCGAUUUCCGAAUGGGGA